GAUUGAAUGAAUUUCCAUUCACAAAUCGCUUUCAUCUUCUCUAUCCUCUUCCUCUCUCCAGCGUCACAUUUAGCUCUCCGCCGAUUCAAGUCCCUUCUCUCCCACUCUCUCAUAUCUUCCAUUCUCUCUAAAGCUUCUUCUUCUCACCUCAAUUUAAAGCUUUGCUUUACACUGGAGACAAUAGCAGGAUUACUUGAUUGUUCUAAACAGUGCUGAGCUACAGAUGUUAGAUGCAAGAGUUAAAGAUUAUUGGCUACAUUGUAAAAGAAGUCUGACAAUUCAGGCAUUGUUUGUCACCUCGGAGAAGAUUGGGUGUAAAUGUAAGAUUGGUUAGAAUGGAGAAGAUAGGAACUGGUCAGGAAUAUCUCAUUCGCAGCUUGGAUUGUGUCUAUCAUCUAUAAUGGAUGGACAGGAACAGAACAAUUUUUAUAGACAGAGGAAGGGAGUUGAUCAGGAAGUUGUCAAUGUGAUGUAACAACGAAGCUAAUGAAGACAAAAUGUACACAACACACCUCGAACUUGGGAACUUUUUUUAAUUGGGGAUUUCCAACCACCUUGCGCUAAGACAGGAUCAGCCUAGUAUUACAGGUGUGAUAUUUGGAUUCGAGUCUUAUUUACUGCAUACUACAGCUUUCAUUUCCCCUAUUUCUUUUCUACCAUUUGUAUAAUUAACUUUUUUUAAUUGGGGAUUUCCAACUACCUUGCGCUAAGAUAGGAUCAGCCUAGUAUUACAGAUGUAAUAUUUGGAUUCGAGUCUUAUUUACUGCAUACUACAGCUUUCGUUUCCCUUGUUUCUUUUC